GGCUGUGGGAGGCGGUGACUUACCCUCUAACCUUCAGAUGGAGGUUGUUUCCAACCCUGAGACUGAGAUGGUCGACCUUCCUGCUCCUUCGGGGGUCUCAAUGGUCGUCUCAACUGUCAUUUCAACGGUCGCAACCACCAACGGUACAAACGGGACGUCUGAUCCUCCGGGCAAAGACCCCCGGAGCCCCGAACACAAGAGCCCUGACCCCCGGAGCCCUGAACACAAGAGCCCUGACCCCCGGAGCCCAGAGGGAACCUGCACCACCAACAGCUUCUCUGAGAACAAGAUGUCUGGCGUCACCCCUCCAGAGACGGCGGUGGAGAAGAAGCAGGAGGAGAUCAGCGAUGACAGCAGCAGCAACAACAACAACAACAACAAAACCUCAGAACCCUCCCAGCAUUCUUUGCCAGCUCUCGUCAGCAGUUUAGACAAUAAGAAGUAAUGCCAGGUCUCUCCAGUGGCGGGAAUUCAAACAUAUAUAUAUAAAAAAAAAAAGACUUUGCUUGCGCCCGACGGUGCCCUGAAGUUGCCAAUCUGUAUAAAUGUUGUUUGUUUGCAUCGUAUUGUCAGACUGUGUCAAUGGUAGAUAUACAGCCCAGGUCACAUGACUCUGGCGACGCACCAGUGUCAUCAUGCCAAUUAGUGAUAGACGUCCAGUGUGGAGAUGCUCAAAGGGAGAUUAAUUCAUCAUCACACCAGUGUGUGCCUGUUAACGUGGCCCCUGUGUUCUCUGUUAGGGGUGGACAAAAAACGAGAGCAUGGAUCCGAUCUGUCAGGGGUUACUGGUCUAAAGAAGCAGUGUUGUGAUAGAGUAAUGAAAAGAGAGCCUGUGCACCCCCUCGUCCCAAUGAACCUAAACUUCUGCAACCCUGAUACCCUCUUCCUGUGAAAACCCCUGAACCCCAACCCCCAGUCCUCCAACAAUCCAAUGUCACCUCCCCUAUCGUCCGCCGAACAUUUAGCUCUUUAUUAGCUUCUAAACUGGCUGCUUUUGCAACAAUUUGGUCCAGGUCCGUUAUCCAAUCAGACCGUAAACAAUGACCAUGGGUUGAGCUAGGUUGUACAAAGUGUCGUUCAAACGCAGAAAAAGUCACCAAAAUGAUCAGGCGCAGGCGACAGGUCGGGGGGGGGAAGUUGUUGGUGGUACGCGGAUUGGUGAUCCAGAAGACUAAGGUCACUCAUAGACCGAAAGGGGUUCAAUAUUCAAAGAACAAAUACUAGACCUUCUGUUGCAGGACCAAGCAUCCUGACACCUUUAAACCAACCCAUAACUUCCAAACUAGUGUCCAGCUGUAGACGCGUUCAUUCAACCAACAUACAUGACCUUCCCCUCGAGAAACCAAACAUUCCCCAUUCAUUCCUCCUGAACCCCAAAGGGUUUAGCACACUCCAUACAUGUUGGGAAAGCUAGAAGAAUCGUUGUUUGAAGCGUCCGGACCCCGUUAAACCAACACACCCAACUUUCAAAUCAGUCUGUGAACAUAACGUCUGUUCAUUUAUUUCCCCCUUAUUUGAACAAUGUGAUCACAUGACUCCUUCUGAUGUUACUCCAGAUCUGCUGUAAGCUAGCUAGCUAACGUAGCUAACCUAGUCAUUUCUGAUUUUCUGACAAACACAUGAGACGACUAACUCUGAGACAGAGACAGUUGCAUCGUUUCUGAAGCUGCAGCGCGUUUGCACCUGUUUGCCACCGUACAGACAAGUUAGCGUCGCACAAAGACAAUCUCACUGAUGUUUUUAGACUUCUCAAACGGUCUAGAACCAGAAACCGUGUUCAUUCAACAACAAAGAACCCCUCUGGUUACUAAAGACGAAACGUAGCUUCGCCAGUUCAAACAUCCCGUUCCAACAACCCAAAAACCCUCUCCCAGUGGACCAAUGACCAAACCCCCCGAAUACUGACCCCCACACCCCUGUUCCCCUGACUUGAUGCUGAAGUGUUCGGCGGGACGAGGCCAGCUGUGGCCUCACAGAUGUUUCCAGUGGUGUCGGUCAAGUGUAGUGAUUGAGUUUUCAUUCGUGAGUCAAGUGUGUCAACUGUGAGCACUAAAUGUGAAAUUGCAAUAUUGCAAUGUCAACACAAACUAUAUCUGGGCUGUGUUUCUUUUUAUAGGAAAAGAUAUUCAGGUCUUCCUAGUCUUCAGAAUAAGUGCUUUCUGUUCCUGAACCUGCUGGACUGGCAUUAUCAACACAGUGGUGAUCUCUGCUUUCUGUCGAACCCUGAACUGCCAAAUGAUGUUGUCUCCAGAUCCAGCAGGGACCAGUCCGUCUACGGAAAGAUCAAAUCAUUGGCGUUGUGAGAUGUAUAGAUGCGUCCCCAGAUCGAGACAGGAGAGCUUACUAAACAAUAACCGAGGAUCUUUGGGUCUCAAAGGAACCACAAAUCCUGAGAUUAAAGCACAAGCUUGCUGCAUCACAAAGAAGAGCUUUUUGUAUGUUAAUAUGGAGACAGAGCAUCUCUUUGUUGUGAUGUGACUUAUCCCCACAUUGCCAAUAUUUUUCUAGGAGGAAAUCCAAACCUCUGUGUGACAUUGAAGGUGUGUUCCUGGGUUAGCAUCUCUCCCUUCUCUGGAGCUCGUCUGAGUUUCUCCGCUGAAUCAUGACUUCUGGCUCCUCCUCCACUAACGGUGCUUUCUGUUUCUUUCUUUCUGCAAUGUUGGAGCUGUUUCUGCUUAAAGUGUAGUCGUGAAAACACGAAUUCACCGCUGAGAAGCCAUGAAGAUGAUUGUCCUGAAAUCAUGAGAAGCUGUUUUUACUGACGGGGGGUUAGCAGCCAUGCUAGUGGCCACGAGAAGGCCUCAAUUUGGACAUAUCUCUACACCUAUUGGAUGAAUGACGAUGAUAUUUUGGGUGAUCCGUCAAUUUUUUUUAUCCGCAGCCCCACGUUUAGUGAAAUAUCUCAACACUAGUUUUGCUAACAUUUCAGAUAUUCGCCACCAGGCCUUUCUUCAGACGUCUCAGUGAAGGAUCUCCCGGGACUAUAUUUUAUGACCAGAUUCACGUUAGCGUUGCCACUGUUAGCCUGUUAGCAUGCUAACUAUAGCAAUUAGCUCUAACGGAAGAAGCUGCUAGCAUGGCUGUAGACUCGUGUUAGGAUGACAUUCUUAAAUAAUAUUAAUAAAUGACAAAACUACAAUGUGUUCCCGUGCAACAGAACUGCUUUUAUAGAGUGCUAUGGCUGUCUUAAACGUGGGAAUUAAAGUUAAAAAAAAAUACAACAAACUACUUCCUGUCUGAAACUAAGCCAGCGUUGAAUGGUCCUGAGUUUCCUCCGUUAGAUUCAGAGGAUUCUCCCGGACGAUGCGUUUCUGCUGCGUGGGAACGUGGUUCUGUAGUCGUGAGCGCAGCGGUGAAUACGAUGUGUGGCGACUUUAAAAACAAGGUGUUACAUGUGUCUUUUUUUAUCAUAUCAUAUUGUACCAACAUAUCUAACACACCACGUUUUGAGUUUCUGACGUCAGCUGUACAAACUGCCUUCAUCAGGAGAUCCAGAGCAGAAGAGAGGGUUUCUACGACGAGGACAACAGGAAGUGGACCUUUGUUCCUCCUGAUUCUUGAUUGUUCGGUUUUAAACGGUUCUCUUUGCCCCCCCCCCCUCUGUACAGUAGGUACCUCGAGUGCCUUUUCUUCAAACAGCAGAUAAUAUUUGUCUCUUGACUUGCACUGUGACUUGUAGAAACCUCCCCCAGCUCUUCACUUCCUCAGGCAACGGAAACAUCAUUUUCAUAUUUCUUCGUUUCUUCUCGACCACAUUGUGUUUCCUCGUUGUUUUUUAUUAUUAUAGGAGUUGCCUUAAAUGUGUUUUAUUUUCCUUCCUGAGCGCGGAGAGAUCCCAGCCUGGUGGAUGUGGUGGAUGUGGUGGCGGGGGAAUCACUCCAGAGAGAGAUUAAUGGGAUGUUUGACAGCCGGACGUUUGGCGAUGCACUUUUUGUUUCGACCAGUAUUAUUGAUAUUAUUGAUAUUAUUAUGGGCGUGUAGGAAAACAAAAAACAAGGAUCCGUCAUGAAUCUAGAGACUCGUUCCCCUCCCUCUUCGUUCCCUCGAUGCCGUGGUUCCUCGUCUUGUGUUUCUGGAUUUUCUGCUUAAAACAAGCUAACCGCGGCGCGCAGACCUGUCCUAGCAUGCCUUCUUAUGCAAAUUUUAUACCAGAUUUGUCAAACCUUUUUUAAAUAUGCAUUUGUUUUUUAACUUCUUUUUUUAUGUGAAACUCAAGUCACCUUUAUUCCGUUGAACAUUGUGCAGUUUGGGUGUUUCUCGUUUCUUCCUGACGUCGUGUUUAGACUUUCAUUUGGACUCGGCUAACGCACCAUGCUGAAUGUUUGGGCUGGGCGGGGCUUUUUUUAUUGAGUUAUCCUAUUUGGUCUAAAAAGUGAAUUUAUCCGAAGAGAACGGCUAAAUGCUUUUCUAUUGGAAAGCAUUUUGAAAAACGAAAGCCCCAAGAGGCGAGGAAAAAUAAAAAUCUGUUGGUGCGUUUUUUAAGAAUCUGAUCUGAAUUGUUUUAUGAUUAUGAUUCAAGAAAAUUUCAAUGAGUGUUUUGCUAAUCAACAAAAAGUGUUUAUUUUAAAUCCUCUUUGAAACAGGUGGAUGAACUCGGCGGUUCCUUUAUUUCAUCUGUGAAAAUAGGUGGAAAAAAUAAAUGUACGGGUAAUUUUAGAUGAGUGUUUGUUGUUGUAAUACUCAUUUUGACCAUAAGAGGUUGAAGUACUCUCCUGUUUCAAACACUUGUUCUUCAUGGUAGUUUUUAAAUCACUUCAUGAUCUCUAAACACACAUACGAAUAUGUAAAUAUAAUAUAUACUUCACCUCUUGUGGUUUAAAUUAGUAUUACAUUUAAAAUACUGGUUAAAAAAUGUUUUUCAUAGAUUAAAAAAUAGGUUUUUAUUAGCUUAGUAUGUGUUGUUGUAAUACUCCUUUUGACCACAAGAGGCUGUGACUUCAUGCUCCCUAAACACAAUAUAUAAAUAUAAAAUAUACUUCACCUAUUAUGGAUUACAUUAGUAUUGCAUCAAUAAAAACUGGCAAAAAUAAGUCAAGGAUAAUUGUAUUAGAUGAGUGUUUGUUGUUGCAAUACUCAUUUUGACCACAAGUGGCUGAAAUGCUCGCCCAUGUCCUUUAUACUAAAAAAACAACCUGUUCGUUUUUGUGUUUUUUUAAUUACUUAAUGCCCUCUAAUCACACAUACUAAUACUUAAAUAGAACAUAUACUUCACCUCUUGUGGUUUAAAUUAGUAUUACAUCAAAGAAACUGGGGGAUCACUUAGGGAUUGUUGUUGUAAUACUCCUUUUGACCACAAGAGGCUGAAGAACUCGCCCAUGUUCUUAACACUAAAAAACCUGUUCAUUUGUGUGUUUUGUAAUGACUUCAUGCUCUCUGAACACAACAUAGAAAUGAAUUAAUGUAACAUAUACUUCACCUCUUGUGGUUUAAAUUAGUAUUACAUCUAAAAAACUGGGGGAAAGUGUGUUCGCUUGGAGUUUGUUGUUAUAAUGCUCCUUUUGACCACAAGAGGCUGAAGUACUUGCCCAUGUUCUUUAUAUUUAACUAUAUACAAAUACAUAAAUAUAACAUAUACUUCACCUCUUGUGAUAUGAGUAUUACAUCAGUUGCACAAUUUAACAAAUGGCAACAAAAACAAUCUGCUUUUUCCCCACUUGUUUCACAAAAGGAAAAAGAUAAACGUAGGAACAUUUUAACCUUUUAAGUUCUGAACACAAAUGCGUCACCUUUUUAUUUUUGCCCCUCCGAGCCUCCGUACAUUUUCUGCAAUUGAUGCAUAUCGUUUAUUAUAAUUUGACGCUCAUCUCGUGGAUUCUUUUGAAAGCAGUUCUUUAUUUUAACGAACGAUCAAGUCCUGAUUGUGGCCUUCUAGUAUUGUGUGGAGACAUCGACCCGCUGUCCAUCCCGUCCGGAUCCAACUGUUCGCCCCGAGCUUCUUACCUCGUCGUCCACGGCUAAUCCAUCGGGGGUGUUGAGUGCAACAAAAAAAAAAAACACAAAAUAAAGUCUUUUUUUAUCUUCCAUACGGUGAGGCAUUGUAGCGACGGAGAGGUCACCCGGUGUGCUGAAUAAUGUGUAGGAAUUACACACUCUGAAUAUUUGUAUAAUUGUUUGUAUUUUUUCAUAAUGAUUUUGGAAAGGAAUGUGUUUAUUUUUUUGACUUGUGUUCCAGACGUGUCUUCUGUUGGCCUGACAUGGGGGCGGUCUGCUGGGAUUCUUACCUCUGUAUUGAGCCUAUUCUUCUGUGAUGACUUCUUUGUAUGCAGUGUUUAGGAAAUACUGUGGGGAACAAGGGGAGGAGUUGAUAUUAGGAGCAUUUGAUCAAUUUGUAUUUAUUAUUUUAUCAUUUUGUAAUAAUUGUGAAAA